rnacentral:rRNA from 1 species
CCUACGGGUGGCUGCAGUGGGGAAUAUUGGGCAAUGGGCGCAAGCCUGACCCAGCAACGCCGCGUGAAGGAAGAAUGCUCUCGGGUUGUAAACUUCUUUUCUAAGGGACGUAGAAAGUGACGGUACCUUAGGUAUAAGCUCCGGCUAACUACGUGCCAGCAGCCGCGGCAAUACGUAGGGAGCGAGCGUUAUCCGGAUUUACUGGGUGUAAAGGGCGUGUAGGCGGGAUGGCAAGUCAGGCGUGAAAACUAGGGGCUCAACCCAUAGCCUGCGUUUGAUACUGUCGUUCUUGAGUGAAGGUGAGGCAGGCGGAAUUCCGGGUGUAGCGGUGAAAUGCGUAGAUAUACGGAGGAACACCAGUGGCGAAGGCGGCUUGCUAAACAGUAACUGACGCUGAGGCGCGAAAGCGUGGGGAGCAAACAGGAUUAGAUACCCGUGUAGUC